rnacentral:sRNA from 1 species
GCCGGGUAAAGUGGCGUGUGCCAGUAAUCCCAGCAGCUUGGAGGCUGAGGCAGGAGGAUCCUGGGUUCAAAGCCAGCCUCAG